rnacentral:rRNA from 1 species
UACGUAGGGGGCUAGCGUUGUCCGGAAUCAUUGGGCGUAAAGAGCGUGUAGGCGGCCCGGUAAGUCCGCUGUGAAAGUCGGGGGCUCAACCCUCGAAUGCCGGUGGAUACUGUCGGGCUAGAGUGCGGAAGAGGCGAGUGGAAUCCUGGUGUAGCGGUGAAAUGCGCAGAUAUCAGGAGGAACACCAAUUGCGAAGGCAGCUCGCUGGGACGUAACUGACGCUGGAGACGCGAAAGCGUGGGGAGCAAACAGG